rnacentral:rRNA from 1 species
GUCUCUGGCCAUGCCACCCUCAACAAGCCCAAUGUUUGAUCUCGGAAGCUAAGCAGGUUUCGGACCUAGUUAGUAUUUGUUUGGGAGACCACCUAAGAAGACCAGGUGCUAUAGGCA